AGUGGGGAACCCUUCCAUGAGGAU
rnacentral:ncRNA from 6 species